rnacentral:rRNA from 1 species
UAGGGAAUAUUGCGCAAUGGGGGAAACCCUGACGCAGCCACGCCGCGUGAGUGAGGAAGGCCUUCGGGUUGUAAAGCUCUGUCGGAAUAGAAAAAUGGCUAGUGGUCUAAUAGGCCAUUAGCGUGAUGGUAUAUUCAAAGGAAGCACCGGCUAACUUCGUGCCAGCAGCCGCGGUAAUACGAAGGGUGCAAGCGUUGUUCGGAUUUAUUGGGCGUAAAGCGUAGGUAGGCUGAUCAUUAAGCCAGAUGUGAAAUCUCAGGGCUCAACCCUGAAACUGCGUCUGGAACUGGUAAUCUUGAAUAUUGGAGAGGGAAGGGGUAUUUCGCAUGUAGGGGUAAAAUCCGUAGAGAUGCGAAGGAACACCAGAGGCGUAGGCGCCUUCCUGGACAAUUAUUGACGCUGAGCUACGAAAGCGUGGGGAGCAAACAGG